GCCAGUGUGGUGUAAUGGUUUGAGCAUUGAACUACAACUCUGGAGACCAGGGUUCAAGUCCCAGCUUGGCCA